CAUGGCUCAGUGCAUCUAUGUGAGAGCUAACAGACUCAUUGACUAUUUAUACAAAGACACUAAUUGAAAUUUAAAAAGCCACAGGUGUUGGAAAUUAAGCUUUAAUUGACAUUUUAAUCUGUGUGUGUCACCUUGUGUGUCUGUAACAAGAUCAAACAUUCAAGGGUAUGUAAACUUUUGAUCAGGGCUAUUUGGGUGAUUUCUG